AAAGCCCUGACUCGCACACAAAGAGCAAAGAAAAUACAACAUCCAAGACUGAAAGAAAUGAGUUAUCCAGACGGCAAAAAUGCAGGCGUGAGGAUGACGAGGCGUAUGAUUCCAACUCAGAUGAAGGCCCUGACUCGCACACAAAGACCAAAGAAAAGAGAAUGUCUAAGACAGAA